rnacentral:rRNA from 1 species
CGAAUAGGGGAGCCGAAGGGAAACCGAGUCUUAACUGGGCGUUAAGUUGCAGGGUAUAGACCCGAAACCCGGUGAUCUAGCCAUGGGCAGGUUGAAGGUUGGGUAACACUAACUGGAGGACCGAACCGACUAAUGUUGAAAAAUUAGCGGAUGACUUGUGGCUGGGGGUGAAAGGCCAAUCAAACCGGGAGAUAGCUGGUUCUCCCCGAAAGCUAUUUAGGUAGCGCCUCGUGAAUUCAUCUCCGGGGGUAGAGCACUGUUUCGGCAAGGGGGUCAUCCCGACUUACCAACCCGAUGCAAACUGCGAAUACCGGAGAAUGUUAUCACGGGAGACACACGGCGGGUGCUAACGUCCGUCGUGAAGAGGGAAACAACCCAGACCGCCAGCUAAGGUCCCAAAGUCAUGGUUAAGUGGGAAACGAUGUGGGAAGGCCCAGACAGCCAGGAUGUUGGCUUAGAAGCAGCCAUCAUUUAAAGAAAGCGUAAUAGCUCACUGGUCGAGUCGGCCUGCGCGGAAGAUGUAACGGGGCUAAACCAUGCACCGAAGCUGCGGCAGCGACACUGUGUGUUGUUGGGUAGGGGAGCGU